rnacentral:rRNA from 1 species
AGAGUUUGAUCCUGGCUCAGGAUGAACGCUAGCUACAGGCUAACACAUGCAAGUCGAGGGGAAACGACAUCGAAAGCUUGCUUUGUAUGGCGGUCGACCGGCGCACGGGUGAGUAACGCGUAUCCAACCUCGCCCACCACUUGGGGAUAACCUUGCGAAAGUAAGACUAAUACCCAAUGAUAUCUCUAGAAGACAUCUGAAAGAGAUUAAAGACUUAUCGGUGAUGGAUGGGGAUGCGUCUGAUUAGCUUGUUGGCGGGGUAACGGCCCACCAAGGCAACGAUCAGUAGGGGUUCUGAGAGGAAGGUCCCCCACAUUGGAACUGAGACACGGUCCAAACUCCUACGGGAGGCAGCA